rnacentral:rRNA from 1 species
AGAACGAACGCUGGCGGCAGGCCUAACACAUGCAAGUCGAACGCCCCGCAAGGGGAGUGGCAGACGGGUGAGUAACGCGUGGGAACAUACCCUUCGGUUCGGAAUAGCUCAGGGAAACUUGAAUUAAUACCGGAUACGUCCGCAAGGAGAAAGAUUUAUCGCCGAAGGAUUGGCCCGCGUCUGAUUAGCUAGUUGGUGAGGUAACGGCUCACCAAGGCGACGAUCAGUAGCUGGUCUGAGAGGAUGAUCAGCCACAUUGGGACUGAGACACGGCCCAAACUCCUACGGGAGGCAGCAGUGGGGAAUAUUGGACAAUGGGCGAAAGCCUGAUCCAGCCAUGCCGCGUGAGUGAUGAAGGCCCUAGGGUUGUAAAGCUCUUUCGUCAGGGACGAUAAUGACGGUACCUGAAGAAGAAGCCCCGGCUAACUUCGCGCCAGCAGCCGC